rnacentral:rRNA from 1 species
UACGAAGGGGGCUAGCGUUGCUCGGAAUCACUGGGCGUAAAGCGCGCGCAGGCGGCUAUCCAAGUCAGUGGUGAAAGCCCGGAGCUCAACUCCGGAACUGCCAUUGAAACUGUUUAGCUUGAGGACGAGAGAGGUGAGUGGAGUUCCCAGUGUAGAGGUGAAAUUCGUAGAUAUUGGGAAGAACACCGGUGGCGAAGGCGGCUCACUGGCUCAUUACUGACGCUCAGGCGCGACAGCGUGGGGAUCAAACAGG